GGACUACUGGGGUAUCUAAUCCUGUUUGCUCCCCACGCUUUCGCACCUCAGCGUCAGUAUCGGGCCAGUGAGCCGCCUUCGCCACUGGUGUUCUUGCGAAUAUCUACGAAUUUCACCUCUACACUCGCAGUUCCACUCACCUCUCCCGAACUCAAGACUCCCAGUAUCGAAGGCAGUUCUGGAGUUGAGCUCCAGGAUUUCACCCCCGACUUAAGAGUCCGCCUACGUGCGCUUUACGCCCAGUGAUUCCGAGCAACGCUAGCCCCCUUCGUAUUACCGCGGCUGCUGGCAC
rnacentral:rRNA from 1 species